rnacentral:ncRNA from 1 species
AGGAGCCGUCUGAAGGGAAAACUUUCAUGCACGGUUCUGAAUGGGAGGGGUAGACCGUGAGGUCUAUCUCGAC